rnacentral:lncRNA from 1 species
GGUUCAUUAAACCGGGUUGCCGUCUUCGUGAUAGGCUUGAGCCGAGUCCGGUUCAUUAAAUCGGGUCGCCGUCUUCGUGAUAGGCUUUACUCGGGUUUGGUGGUCGCCGUCUUCGUGAUAGGCUUCACUCGGGUUCGGUUCAUUAAACCGGAUUGCCGUCUUCGUAAUAGGCUUGACCCGAGUCCAGUUUAUUUAGCAGGGUCGCCAUCUUCGUGAUAGUCUUAACCCGAGUUCAGUUCAUUAAA